GACACUAACCAGAGUUCAGGCAGGCUGCAGAGGUUAAGGGCUUAUUCCCACAAGACCGCUCCCACUUCAGAUCCAAUCGCAAGUAGUAGGUCCUCAGGUUAUCCACAAUUUCUGUCCAACUUGGCUACAAAUCAGAGGUUUCCACGAUCCUGUCCUUGAAUUCAAUCAUUUGCUCUAACAGCUCACAGAACUCAGGGAAACACAUUUACCAGUCGAUUACGUAAUAAAGGAUAAUAAAGGAUAUAGAUGAACAGCCAGAUGAAGAGAUACAAAGGCAAGGUCUAGAAGGGUCCUGAGCACAGGAGCUUCUGUUUUCAAGGGUGUACCACCCUCCCAGCAUGUGGAGUUCACCAAACCAGAAGCUCUCUGAACUCUGUACUUUCGAGAUUUCUAUGGAGACUUCCUCACAUAGGCAUGAUUGAGCAUUAACUCAGUUUCCAGCCCCUCUCCCUUCCUAGAGGAUGGGAGUGGGGCUGGGGCUAGGAGUCCCAAGCUUCUAAUGCUCACUCCAUUAGAACAAAAGGCAUUCCAGGAAGUGAUUCAGGAAAUUCCAAGGGAUUUCAGAACUCUGUGUCAGGAACUAGGGGCAGACACCAAUACAGACACACCUCAUUUUAUUGUGCUUUGUUUUAUUGUGCUUCAUAGAUGUUGCAUUUUUGGUAACUUAAAGGCAAGACCCUCUACCAGCAAAAAGAUUAUGAUCUGCUUUAUUGCAAUACUCAUUUUAUUGUAGCAGUCUGGAACUGGACCCACAAUUCCUCCCAGAUUCCAAUCCAUCUUCAAGAAUAGGCUUGUGAUCUUGGCCUACCCAAUGAAACAAUAUGAGGGCAUUUGCUGAAACUACUGGAAAAGAGAAACUUUUUUUACCUGGGAAUUGUUGACUGAGUGGAUUAUAAACCUGGAGCUGCAGGCAGUCAUCUUGUCACCGCAAGGGAAGUGUUUGGCUGCUACCUGGCAAGAAAGCCCAGAAACAAAGAGAGACCUGAUAAGUGGAGAAAUCACUUGAGCGCCUGAUUCCAGCCAUACCUGAAGGAUGUUUUUCUCCGGCAGGAUGAAGAAAGAGUAAGCAACAGAGGAAGGCCAUACAGAGGGCUUCGAAGAUACUGGAAUGUCCCAUUAGACCAGUGGCACCACCCUCUUCCAGGCCGCUGUCAUCUCUCGGCUGGAUUACUGCCACAGCUUGCUCACUGGACACCCUGCCUCCAGUCUUACACUCCUGCAGUCACCAUACCGUGACCAGAGUGAAGCCUUUAGGGGAUUGGUCAGAUCGAGACCCUCCAGUCAAUUCCUAUGUCACUUAGAUUAAAAGACAGACUCCUCAGUGGUCCAGUGCCUGCCAUGUCUCCACCCCAUCUCCAGUCACUCUCCUCUAGCUCACAGCACUCCAGAAACACGGGCUUCUUUUCUGUUUCUUGAACACACCAAGGUGACCCCCACCUUGGGGCUCAGAAGAUUCUUCAUCUAGGUCUUUCUGUGUAGGUCUUU